AGGAAUAUUGGACAAUGGAGGCAACUCUGAUCCAGCCAUGCCGCGUGAAGGAAUAAGGCCCUAUGGGUUGUAAACUUCUUUUAGACGGGACAAAACCCCUUUACGUGUAAAGGGUUGAUGGUACUGUCAGAAUAAGCAUCGGCUAACUUCGUGCCAGCAGCCGCGGUAAUACGAAGGAUGCAAGCGUUAUCCGGAAUUAUUGGGUUUCAAGGGUGCGUAGGCGGACUAAUAAGUCAGUGGUGAAAGCCUGCAGCUUAACUGCAGAAUUGCCAUUGAGACGUUUAGUCUUGAGUACAGUUGAGGUAGGCGGAAUGCGUCAUGUAGCGGUGAAAUGCUUAGAUACGACACAGAACACCGAUUGCGAAGGCAGCUUGCUAAGCUGUAACUGACGCUGAGGCACGAAAGCGUGGGGAGCAAACA
rnacentral:rRNA from 1 species